GACGAACGCUGGCGGCGUGCUUAACACAUGCCAGUCGUACGGUAAGGCCCUUUCGGGGGUACACGAGUGGCGCACGGGUGAGUAACACGUGAGUAACCUGCCCACAACUUUGGGAUAACGCUAGGAAACUGGUGCUAAUACUGGAUAUGUUCUCCUGCUGCAUGGUGGGGGUUGGAAAGCUCCGGCGGUUGUGGAUGGACUCGCGGCCUAUCAGCUUGUUGGUGGGGUAGUGGCCUACCAAGGCGGCGACGGGUAGCCGGCCUGAGAGGGUGACCGGCCACAUUGGGACUGAGAUACGGCCCAGACUCCUACGGGAGGCAGCAGUGGGGAAUAUUGCACAAUGGGCGCAAGCCUGAUGCAGCAACGCCGCGUGCGGGAUGACGGCCUUCGGGUUGUAAACCGCGUUCAGCAGGGACGAAGCUUUUUGUGACGGUACCUGCAGAAGAAGCACCGGCUAACUACGUG
rnacentral:rRNA from 1 species